rnacentral:rRNA from 1 species
AUGGCCAUCUUCGACGAGUUCUAUGUUGGGUCCAUCGACCUCGGGCACCUCAACUAUGGGAUCAUUUCGCUCAUCCCCAAGGUGCCUGGGGUAUCCGACAUCCGCCAGUUUCGUCUAAUCACGGUCAUCAAUGUGAUUUUUCGGAUUCUGGCGAAAGGGUACGCCAAUAGGGUGACCCUGCUUGCCGACCACAUUACCCACCCCAACCAGUCCGCCUUCAUUCAAGGGCGGUAUAUCCUGGAUGGGGCUAGUCUUCAUGAAGUACUCCAUGAGGUCCGGUCUAAGCACCCCAGGGAGGUUUUCCUGAAGAUCGAUUUCCAUAAGUCAUACGACAUUAUUAGUUGGUCCUUCCUUCGGGAAGUUUUGCUUUGGAAAGGCUUUGAUGACCGAUGGAUCACCAAAGUGAUGCAGAUGGUUUGCUGCGGUCGCACUGAUGUGAACAUCAAUGGUGAGAUCGGCCCUUACUUCCCCACCCUCUGUGGGGUUAGACAAGGCGACCCCUUCUCCCCAUUCUUGUUCAACAUGGUGGUGGACGCGCUUGCCGCCAUCUUGGAUAAAGCUAAGGCUACUGGCCAUAUCCGUGGGAUCACCCCCACCUGCCCGGCGGCUCUGGGAUCUCCCUUCUCCAGUACACCGACGACACCAUCAUCAUGGUCGAAGGAUCGGAAUCGGAUAUCUCUAACCUUAAGUUCCUUCUCCUCUGCUUCCAACAAAUGUCUGGCCUCAAGAUCAACUUUGACAAGAGUGAUGUGA